rnacentral:rRNA from 1 species
GUGCCAGCCGCCGCGGUAAGACGGAGGGGGCUAGCGUUGUUCGGAAUUACUGGGCGUAAAGCGCGCGUAGGCGGAUUGGUCAGUCAGGGGUGAAAUCCCGGGGCUUAACCUCGGAACUGCCUUUGAUACUGCCAGUCUCGAGUCCGGAAGAGGUGAGUGGAAUUCCUAGUGUAGAGGUGAAAUUCGUAGAUAUUAGGAAGAACACCGGUGGCGAAGGCGACUCACUGGUCCGGUACUGACGCUGAGGUGCGAAAGCGUGGGGAGCAAACAGGAUGAGAUACCCUGGUAGUCCACGCCGUAAACGAUGAUAACUAGCUGUCCGGGUUCACAGAACUUGGGUGGCGCAGCUAACGCAUUAAGUUAUCCGCCUGGGGAGUACGGUCGCAAGAUUAAAACUCAAAUGAAUUGGCGGGG